rnacentral:lncRNA from 13 species
GACCUUUUUUCUUACCUUUAUAGUCAUAUGCUGUGUGAGGACAUUUCAGUCAAUGACAGACCACAUAUGUGAUGCUGGUUUCGUGAUGCUAUAAUGGAGCUGAAAUAUUCCUAUUGUUCAGUGACGCCAUUGCCAUAGUAAUGUUGCAGCCCAAGACAUAUGAGACAGCACCUUGCUUUGUCACUGAGGCUGGAGCAUAGUGGCAUAACCACAGACCCCUGCAACCUCUGCCUCCCAGGUUCAAGCAAUUCUCAUACCUCAGCCUCCCAAGUAGCUGAGACUACAGGGGACAGCAAGGGUGAUCAGGCUUGUGGGACCGUGGAGAGUGAGAAACCUGAUGAAACAUUGAGGCUGAUCAGAUAUCAAUGA